rnacentral:tRNA from 1 species
GCCCGGGUGGUGGAAUGGUAGACACAGGGGACUUAAAAUCCCCCGGGAGUAACUCCCGUAGCGGUUCAAGUCCGCUCUUGGGCACCA